rnacentral:rRNA from 1 species
UCCAGAGAACUUAGCAGAGAUGCUUUGGUGCCUUCGGGAACUCUGAGACAGGUGCUGCAUGGCUGUCGUCAGCUCGUGUUGUGAAAUGUUGGGUUAAGUCCCGNAACGAGCGCAACCCUUAUCCUUUGUUGCCAGCGAUUCGGUCGGGAACUCAAAGGAGACUGCCGGUGAUAAACCGGAGGAAGGUGGGGAUGACGUCAAGUCAUCAUGGCCCUUACGGCCAGGGCUACACACGUGCUACAAUGGCGCAUACAAAGAGAAGCGACCUCGCGAGAGCAAGCGGACCUCAUAAAGUGCGUCGUAGUCCGGAUUGGAGUCUGCAACUCGACUCCAUGAAGUCGGAAUCGCUAGUAAUCGUAGAUCAGAAUGCUACGGUGAAUACGUUCCCGGGCCUUGUACACACCGCCCGUCACACCAUGGGAGUGGGUUGCAAAAGAAGUAGGUAGCUUAACCUUCGGGAGGGCGCUUACCACUUUGUGAUUCAUGACUGGGGUGAAGUCGUAACAAGGUAGGCGUACUACA